rnacentral:rRNA from 1 species
GGUUAACCGUAUAGGGGAGCCGAAGGGAAACCGAGUCUUAACUGGGCGUUAAGUUGCAGGGUAUAGACCCGAAACCCGGUGAUCUAGCCAUGGGCAGGUUGAAGGUUGGGUAACACUAACUGGAGGACCGAACCGACUAAUGUUGAAAAAUUAGCGGAUGACUUGUGGCUGGGGGUGAAAGGCCAAUCAAACCGGGAGAUAGCUGGUUCUCCCCGAAAGCUAUUUAGGUAGCGCCUCGUGAACUCAUCUUCGGGGGUAGAGCACUGUUUCGGCUAGGGGGUCAUCCCGACUUACCAACCCGAUGCAAACUGCGAAUACCGAAGAAUGUUAUCACGGGAGACACACGGCGGGUGCUAACGUCCGUCGUGAAGAGGGAAACAACCCAGACCGCCAGCUAAGGUCCCAAAGUCAUGGUUAAGUGGGAAACGAUGUGGGAAGGCACAGACAGCCAGGAUGUUGGCUUAGAAGCAGCCAUCAUUUAAAGAAAGCGUAAUAGCUCACUGGUCGAGUCGGCCUGCGCGGAAGAUGUAACGGGGCUAAACCAUGCACCGAAGCUGCGGCAGCGACACUAUGUGUUGUUGGGUAGGGGAGCGUUCUGUAAGCCGUUGAAGGUGUGUCGUGAGGCAUGCUGGAGGUAUCAGAAGUGCGAAUGCUGACAUAAGUAACGAUAAUGCGGGUGAAAAACCCGCACGCCGGAAGACCAAGGGUUCCUGUCCAACGUUAAUCGGGGCAGGGUGAGUCGACCCCUAAGGCGAGGCCGAAAGGCGUAGUCGAUGGGAAACAGGUUAAUAUUCCUGUACUUGGUGUUACUGCGAAGGGGGGACGGAGAAGGCUAUGUUGGCCGGGCGACGGUUGUCCCGGUUUAAGCAUGUAGGCGGAGGUUCCAGGUAAAUCCGGUACCUUUUAACGCUGAGGUGUGAUGACGAGGCACUACGGUGCUGAAGUGACAAAUGCCCUGCUUCCAGGAAAAGCCUCUAAGCAUCAGGUAACACGAAAUCGUACCCCAAACCGACACAGGUGGUCAGGUAGAGAAUACCAAGGCGCUUGAGAGAACUCGGGUGAAGGAACUAGGCAAAAUGGUGCCGUAACUUCGGGAGAAGGCACGCUGAUAUGUAGGUGAAGCGGUUUACCCGUGGAGCUGAAAUCAGUCGAAGAUACCAGCUGGCUGCAACUGUUUAUUAAAAACACAGCACUGUGCAAACACGAAAGUGGACGUAUACGGUGUGACGCCUGCCCGGUGCCGGAAGGUUAAUUGAUGGGGUUAUCCGUAAGGAGAAGCUCUUGAUCGAAGCCCCGGUAAACGGCGGCCGUAACUAUAACGGUCCUAAGGUAGCGAAAUUCCUUGUCGGGUAAGUUCCGACCUGCACGAAUGGCGUAAUGAUGGCCAGGCUGUCUCCACCCGAGACUCAGUGAAAUUGAACUCGCUGUGAAGAUGCAGUGUACCCGCGGCAAGACGGAAAGACCCCGUGAACCUUUACUAUAGCUUGACACUGAACACUGGUCCUUGAUGUGUAGGAUAGGUGGGAGGCUUUGAAGCGUGGACGCCAGUCUGCGUGGAGCCAACCUUGAAAUACCACCCUUUAAUGGCUGGUGUUCUAACGUUGACCCGUGAUCCGGGUUGCGGACAGUGUCUGGUGGGUAGUUUGACUGGGGCGGUCUCCUCCUAAAGAGUAACGGAGGAGCACGAAGGUUAGCUAAUCCUGGUCGGACAUCAGGAGGUUAGUGCAAAGGCAUAAGCUAGCUUGACUGCGAGAGUGACGGCUCGAGCAGGUGCGAAAGCAGGUCUUAGUGAUCCGGUGGUUCUGAAUGGAAGGGCCAUCGCUCAACGGAUAAAAGGUACUCCGGGGAUAACAGGCUGAUACCGCCCAAGAGUUCAUAUCGACGGCGGUGUUUGGCACCUCGAUGUCGGCUCAUCACAUCCUGGGGCUGAAGUAGGUCCCAAGGGUAUGGCUGUUCGCCAUUUAAAGUGGUACGCGAGCUGGGUUUAGAACGUCGUGAGACAGUUCGGUCCCUAUCUGCCGUGGGCGCUGGAGAAUUGAGGGGGGCUGCUCCUAGUACGAGAGGACCGGAGUGGACGCAUCACUGGUGUUCGGGUUGUCAUGCCAAUGGCAUUGCCCGGUAGCUAAAUGCGGAAGAGAUAAGUGCUGAAAGCAUCUAAGCACGAAACUUGCCCCGAGAUGAGUUCUCCCUGAGACUUUAAGUCUCCUGAAGGAACGUUAAAGACGAUGACGUUGAUAGGUCGGGUGUGUAAGUGUAGCGAUACAUUGAGCUAACCGAUACUAAUGAACCGUGAGGCUUAACCUU